UACAGAGGUGGCAAGCGUUGUUCGGAUUUACUGGGCGUAAAGGGUGCGUAGGCGGCAAGGUAUGUCAGAUGUGAAAGCUCACGGCUCAACCGUGAAAUUGCAUCUGAAACUGCUUUGCUAGAGUACUGGAGAGGUAAGUGGAAUUCUCGGUGUAGCGGUGAAAUGCGUAGAUAUCGAGAGGAACGCCGGUGGCGAAGGCGACUUACUGGACAGAUACUGACGCUGAGGCACGAAAGCUAGGGGAGCGAACAGG
rnacentral:rRNA from 1 species